CUCCAAAUUGCCAGGCCAUGCUUCCUGAAUCAGACUUGCUUUUCAUAAUAAGCAUCAUGCCUGAUGGAGGACUUCUGAAGUGGCCAGACAGACUCACAGCUCCAUGGCUUCCUCUAAGUUCUAACUCAGAGUUCGCGCUCCAUUCCAGAAGUCAGUGUCUGGAUAUUACUCUCUGGAAAUGGCCUUUGGGGGGUCACCCUCUGAAUGUUGUCCUUGAAGGCUAUCUGGAAUAAUUGUCCUCAAAAGUUGACACCACAAGUCGGCCUGGAAAGACAGCUGGAGAAACUAGUCUCAGCAGGUCAACCUCCAGAAGUGAGGCUCCCAGGUCACUUAGAAACACCGUUCAUUGCACAAGACUGAAUCUGUUCAAACACAGAGGAGAUAGCUGUGUAUACACGCUAAAGUUUAUCCAUGCUCAGAGCAGUUUGUUUGUUUGUUUUUUUUUUAAAUCACACCACUUCAGGCAGCAGUAGCUAACCAGGUAAUAUGGAAGUUUGAUUCAGAAGGAAAUGAACCUGGGUUCUGGGUGAGACUAAUUUUCCUGGGGAUCCAGAGAACAGAACAACCCAGGCCCAGAAAAGGAGCUGGUUUUCAGGAAUGUGCUAGGAGCCAGUUUAUGUGUUGAUUCUGGAGUUAAGAACUAGUGAGCAGAUGAAGAAAAUUGGGGUGGUUUUAAACAUCAGGGAUGUCUGCACGGGCUGCUGCUCCUUUGUUGGAGGAGGUAAAGGCAGAAGACUCUGAAAAUCUCCGUUCCUUCUGUAACCCAGCAUCAGAGUAUGGGACCUGAGAGCCACCAAGGGCUGGGUGGCAUCGGAAACUCUCUUCCAGAAUAUUCUCAGCUUUAAAGGGAACUGGUGAAGCUUGAGAGCCAAGCAGACAUGAUUUCAUCAAAUGUUACUCUUUCUCUGUGGAGCCCCCCCCCCUUUUUAAAAAAAACAGAGAAGCUGGCAGAGGCGGGAGACUACACCGGCUACGUAGAAGGAUCACAGGGCAAGCAAAAGACAGCAGGCACCGAGAAUCACCAUCUCUGUCACCCUGUGGCCUGGUGGAGGGACGGCCACAUACUCACUAAGAGGUGGCUAUUGAGUGGAAGACAGCUGUGGAGAUUUGGAGAAGGCGGAGAAAGGCUCCUGAGCUCUAGGUUGAACAAGAGGUCAAGAAUAGGAAGUAUAUACAUAUAAGAAGUAUGUACAUAUAAGAACUACAGUGGCUCAAACCAGAUGAAUUCCAACAAAGGCAGAUCACAUCAUGGGCAAGAUCCCUGUGAGUUUUCCUGUUGCUGUCACUUGGAUACCCCUGAAGAACAUGAUCCUCCUAGACAGCAAUGGCUCCAACUGUGCCAUCCAGUGUUUAUAAAGUGCCUUCCCGUCUAGAUUACCGUAUUCCACUAAAGACUCCAUUUACAGAGAACUUCACUUGCUACUAGGUCAGGAGCAGGGUCAGACCCAGCCGCGCCCAGGCUCUCUACAUGCAACCUUGCCUGGCAGGUCUGAAAGACUUGGGGAGGGGGAAGGAGGGGAAGGCUAUUUGUGUUAGAAGUGAGCCUCUGACUGCAUCUUCUCAUCAUCACUGUUCCAUUCAGCUGCUAUUCUAGUCCAACUCAGAACUUCCUAAGCAGGACAAGGGGCUGUGCUGUCAAGGCCACGUUCCUUUUCUCUGAAGUCAUUGCUCAGUGCUGUGCCCCUCCCCAGUGGCCUUGGUUACCCUACAUCUACCCUUCAGCCUGUCCUAAAACAGACAGCUGGGUGUCUGGCAGCAGCUCACAUCAGCCACUUGAUCUCUGUGGAUCUCUUCCUGACUAUACAGGUGUGUGGUUGGAUUUCAGGGGGUACCCUUUCACCCCGAUCUCAGAAGCUAGCUCACACCUGCCACUCUAUGCCACCAGUCACAUCCUCAGUGUGGUGUGCAAGGCCCUCUCACCUGGUUUAGGCUUCAAGUUACAUGAGAACAGGAAGCCUUGAAUCCCCUGCUCUACUUACUCCCUGCCACCUGCUAACUAAUGAGUGACAUCAUUUAACACUGUUUUGAAAAGAGAGAUUUAAAGUUGUUUUGAAAACUGAAGGAAAAAUACAAAUGUUUGCAUGUUAAACAUUUCGCCCAAGUACUAAAAUGUGAAUGUCUCUUUAUUAUGACAGUUCUGGAGGAGAGUGAGCUCCUGGUUGUCAGUGAGCAUCUCAGCACAGGGUUUGACACACAGCAUGGCAGUGGGAGGAAGCUUAAAAAUAGUUGAAAGAAAGAGAAGUGUUCGAUGCUUUUCUAAUUGUCCCAGGUCAACAGUCUGCCUUCUAUUGUGACGGUUCAACGAAAAUGAAAUUUCACCCAUAUGCAUCCUAUAAUAGCUAUUUACUCUUGUCUCCAAGAAUCAAAUGUAUAGAAAAUUUGGAAAGUAUAGAGCUCUGAAGAAUACUCUGAAUUCCAAUCCACAGGAACAAUAUAUAUAUAUAUAUAUAUAUAUUAUAUAUAUAUAUAUAUAUAUAUUAAAUGUAUUCUCAUAUUCUGUCGAGGCAUUUGUACUGUUAGAGUCUAAUGCUUAAAAAUAAAAAUUUUGAGGGCCAGAGAGACA
rnacentral:lncRNA from 1 species